rnacentral:misc_RNA from 1 species
CGUCGCUCCGCGCCCACCUCCCCACCCGGGGACGCGGGAUGCGGGGCGGAGACUGGUCUCCCGUGCGCCCCGGCGCGCGGAUGGCUAAAAUGGGAUCCCUCGGCGACGCACGUCACGGCCAUUGGUGGUUGAUCUCUCGUAAGUCGACUCGUGUGUGGUUGUGCUCCUCUGCAUCGCUCGCGAGGGCAUCCGAGCGUACCCAACGGCGCCUGGCGCCUGCAUCC